rnacentral:rRNA from 1 species
AACAGGAUUAGAUACCCUGGUAGUCCACGCCGUAAACGAUGUCUACUCGGAGUUUGGUGUCUUGAACACUGGGCUCUCAAGCUAACGCAUUAAGUAGACCGCCUGGGGAGUACGGCCGCAAGGUUAAAACUCAAAUGAAUUGACGGGGGCCCGCACAAGCGGUGGAGCAUGUGGUUUAAUUCGAUGCAACGCGAAGAACCUUACCUACUCUUGACAUCCACGGAAGAGACCAGAGAUGGACUUGUGCCUUCGGGAACCGUGAGACAGGUGCUGCAUGGCUGUCGUCAGCUCGUGUUGUGAAAUGUUGGGUUGAGUCCCGCAACGAGCGCAACCCCUAUCCUUAUUUGCCAGCACGUAAUGGUGGGAACUCUAGGGAGACUGCCGGUGAUAAACCGGAGGAAGGUGGGGACGACGUCAAGUCAUCAUGGCCCUUACGAGUAGGGCUACACACGUGCUACAAUGGCGAGUACAGAGGGUUGCAAAGCCGCGAGGUGGAGCUAAUCUCACAAAGCUCGUCGUAGUCCGGAUUGGAGUCUGCAACUCGACUCCAUGAAGUCGGAAUCGCUAGUAAUCGUGGAUCAGAAUGCCACGGUGAAUACGUUCCCGGGCCUUGUACACACCGCCCGUCACACCAUGGGAGUGGGCUGCAAAAGAAGUGGGUAGCUUAACCUUCGGGGGGGCGCUCACCACUUUGUGGUUCAUGACUGGGGUGAAGUCGUAACAAGGUAACC